rnacentral:tRNA from 1 species
GCCCGGGUGGCGGAACUGGUAGACGCAAGGGACUUAAAAUCCCUCGGUACUAUGUGCUGUGCCGGUUCGAUUCCGGCCCCGGGCACCA